rnacentral:rRNA from 1 species
ACGGAAGGCAGCAGUGGGGAAUAUUGGGCAAUGGGCGAAAGCCUGACCCAGCAACGCCGCGUGAAGGAGGAAGGCCUUCGGGUUGUAAACUUCUUUUACCAGGGACGAAGGACGUGACGGUACCUGGAGAAAAAGCCACGGCUAACUACGUGCCAGCAGCCGCGGUAAUACGUAGGUGGCAAGCGUUGUCCGGAUUUACUGGGUGCAAAGGGCGUGUAGGCGGAACUGUAAGUCAGAUGUGAAAUCCCGGGGCUCAACCCCGGAACUGCAUUUGAAACUGCAGGCCUUGAGUAUCUGAGAGGCAAGCGGAAUUCCUAGUGUAGCGGUGAAAUGCGUAGAUAUUAGGAGGAACACCAGUGGCGAAGGCGGCUUGCUGGACGACAACUGACGCUGAGGCGCGAAAGCGUGGGGAGCAAACAGGAUUAGAUACCCUGGUA